rnacentral:rRNA from 1 species
UGCAAGUCGAACGAGAAAGGGAUUGCUUGCAAUCCUGAGUAGAGUGGCGCACGGGUGAGUAACACGUAGAUAAUCUACCUUCAAGCCUGGGAUAACUAUUCGAAAGGAUAGCUAAUACCGGAUAAAGUUAAUUUACAUAAGUUUAUUAAUGAAAGAUUGCCUCUUCUUGAAAGCAAUUGUUUGGGGAUGAGUCUGCGGACCAUUAGCUUGUUGGUGGGAUAACGGCCUACCAAGGCAGCGAUGGUUAGCUGGUCUGAGAGGAUGAUCAGUCACACUGGAACUGGAACACGGUCCAGACUCCUACGGGAGGCAGCAGUGAGGAACUUUGCGCAAUGGGGGAAACCCUGACGCAGCAACGCCGCGUGAGUGAAGAAGGCCUUUGGGUCGUAAAGCUCUGUCAACAAGGAAGAAAUUAUUAUCAUUUAAUAGAUGUUAAUAUUGACGGUACUUGUGGAGGAAGCGCCGGCUAACUCCGUGCCAGCAGCCGCGGUAACACGGGGGGCGCAAGCGUUAUUCGGAAUUAUUGGGCGUAAAGGGCGCGCAGGCGGUCUUGUCAGUCAGGUGUGAAAGCCCGGGGCUCAACCCUGGAAGAGCACUUGAAACAGCAAGACUUGAAUACGGGAGAGGAGAGAGGAAUUCCUGGUGUAGAGGUGAAAUUCGUAGAUAUCAGGAGGAACACCGAUGGCGAAGGCAUCUCUCUGGACCGAUAUUGACGCUGA